UGAACUGAUGCACCUUCUAGUUCUGAAAUUUGCAGUGUUAAUAAUCAGGGUAACUUUAGGAAGGCCUUAGGAGACAGUCCCUUUUAAAUUUAGAAAAAUGAUUUAAAAAAAUGAUGCUUAUGAGAAAUUAGUGAAAGAAUCCUGAGCUCUAUUGAUCCUCAGACUGGAAGAGAGGAGAGGAAGUCUGAUGCAGGAGCGUACACCUUUGUAGUUCUCAUCUCUUAAAUAUGCUUCCAGGUGGCGGUGUAAUUGCAAGAUGACUCACGCUGGAUGUUUUUAUUCUCCUGAGACCAACGAGUGCUAGCUCAACUUUCAAGAUCCGGUUUGUUUUAGGGCCUCACCAGGGGAGCCUUGCCUGACUUCCAGCCUCUUGGUCCUCAGUGUUCUGAGCUUGGCUAGCUGGCCAGGGGACUGGGGGUGCAGGUGGGGCUGGACAGGGAGAAUGCAGGAAAGAGCACAGUGCUCAGAGUCCAAACACUUGGCCCGCUGACCUUGGGUGAGUCUUUUCCCUGCACGCAUUCCAUCCUGUAGGUGCAGAAGGUGACACCGGCCUUCUUGCUGAGUUGGUGUGGGGGUCCAAGGAGAGAACAAAUAGAAUAGAUAAUUUGGAAAAAUGCUCCAUCGAAAGAUGUCAAAAUAGAGUUUAACCCCUCCAUCAUUUCCAAAAGGAUUUGAGGCAGCUAAAUGUAAGAUGGCUGUAUUGUUCAUAUUUCUGAGCCAUGGGCUCCAUGGUCAUUUAUUUAACCUUGACUCGGCCACAGGACUGUGUUCCUGUGCACCCCGGGGCCGGCAGCCCUGAAUGCCAUGCUUCCUGUUGGUCUUUGUGAGCGGGGAGCUUCCAGUACCUGCAGAAUAACCUGGCAGUCUACCGACCUGGAGUCCCACGCAUGUCUCUGGUGCCCACACCUGCUCCCCGUCUCCAAACCUUCCGUUCCUUCUUACCAGCCUUCGGGAUAUGCCUGGCAGUGGAGGGGGUGACAGUAGGCAGAUCUAAGUGCAAGGAUAGGACUCCUGUUUUGCCACAGGAACCCUUCCUCUCAGACAUGAACAGAGAGCAGUGUCUGCCUUCCUUGGCUGCAAGCAGCCCUUUUUUCAAGGUGGUAUCUCCGGAGAUUUUCUGAAGGAACCGAAGUGAGCCAAGGGAACUAGAUGGUCCUUUUCCAACCAUGCACCUGGGAUAGCCUGGAGAGGCUUGUGCUUGCUGCUCUCCCUUUGGUGGCCGGCCACACUGAAACACCACAUAGGACGCUGAGCUUCGUGUGCAAAUAUCUUCCCUCAAGCACUGGGUGUCAGAGCAUAAAGAAUGCAGCAGGGGCCUGUGCUGAUCUGGAAACGGCAUCAAGAUGCAUUAUUAAGGGGCCGCUGGAGUGACUCAGUCGUUAGGUGUCUGCCUUCUGCUCAGGUCAUGAUCCCAGGGUCCUGGGAUGGAGCCCUGCAUCG